rnacentral:misc_RNA from 1 species
AAGUCGUAACAAGGUUUCCGUAGGUGAACCUGCGGAAGGAUCAUUAAAGAGUACCGGAGCUCUCGGGUUCCUACUCCCACCCUAUGAUGACUUUAAAUGUUGCUUUGGCGGACCGGCAAUAUUGCCACCGGCCUAGGCUGGAGAGCGUCCGCCAGAGGAUUUUUAAAUUCCUUUGAAUGUGAAUUCUGAGUCUUUGAAAAUUGAAUCAAAACUUUCAACAACGGAUCUCUUGGUUCUG